AUACGUAGGUGGCAAGCGUUAUCCGGAAUUAUUGGGCGUAAAGAGGGAGCAGGCGGCAGCAAGGGUCUGUGGUGAAAGCCUGAAGCUUAACUUCAGUAAGCCAUAGAAACCAGGCAGCUAGAGUGCAGGAGAGGAUCGUGGAAUUCCAUGUGUAGCGGUGAAAUGCGUAGAGAUAUGGAGGAACACCAGUGGCGCAGGCGACGAUCUGGCCUGCAACGUACGCUCAGUCCCGAAAGCGUGGGGAGCAAAUAGGAUUAGAUACCCUAGUAGUCCACGCCGUAAACGAUGAGUACUAAGUGUUGGAUGUCAAAGUUCAGUGCUGCAGUUAACGCAAUAAGUACUCCGCCUGAGUAGUACGUUCGCAAGAAUGAAACUCAAAUGAAUUGACGGGG
rnacentral:rRNA from 1 species